UACCUGGUUGAUCCUGCCAGUAGUCAUAUAC
rnacentral:rRNA from 1 species